ACUCUAAAACUACCUUUUAAACCGUGGGCUUUAAUUGCAGCCCAAGUAAAGCCCACAGGAGUCUAUAAAUAGACCCCUUAAGUUGCAAACCCUAGCCCCCAUUAAUCUCCAAACCCUAAAAACGAAUUUCUUCACUCAAAGAACUUGAUUUCUUCUUUCUAACAAGUCCGGAUGCGAUUCAUUCCGCUAAGAAUAUGAUUUUACAUCCUACUCGCAAGAUCUACGCGAUUUCUACGUUGUGUUCUUCAUUGGAGGCUUGUGGAUUAAAUUAAAUUCGGUCCAGCCCCUUGAACCUUGGGUUAAUACAUUAUUUAUCUUAUUGUUCAUCAUCCUUAGACACGUCGACUGCUCGUGCUUCGGAGUCGAAACAGGUUUAGUUGCUUGCCAGGUUUUUCACGUGGAUUUGCAAGCAGUUUAUGAUUUGAAAGCUGGUCCACUCUGAUUCUUUUGAUUCCUCGGAGGUUUUUAUGUUAUUUAAACUAGUUUCUGUUUUCAAACUCUUAGACCGCAGUAGAACUAGUUAUUUAUUUCAUUUGAUACUACACUUUGGGAUUGUCGAUAUAUUCGAUUAUUAUAUUUGGCAUGAUUACUCUGGAUUACGAUAUUGUUAUAUAUAAGGCAUGAUGUUGAACAUUUAA